rfam:Ciona savignyi cont_242, whole genome shotgun sequence.
CGGGAUAUAACUCAGUGGUAGAGCAUUUGACUGCAGAUCAAGAGGUCCCUGGUUCAAAUCCGGGUGUCCCCU